GUCUCCGUACCUCAGUCGGAUAGAGGGCCCGCCUCCUAAGCGGGACGCCGCGCGUUCGAAUCGCGCCGGGGACGCCA
rnacentral:tRNA from 1 species